ACCUAGUCCAGUUUGAACACCACUCUGUAUUAAGCCGCUACAAACACUAGCUGUAAAGACCAUCAAGCUCGUCAACGCUAUUAGACUAGUCAAGACACGUCUUAGCUGUUAAUAACUCGAUUAAUUUAACACGAAUGUUAAUUAAUAUAAAUUAAUAUAAUAACGAUCUAGAUACGAAGCUAGUAUCGUUGAAUAAAUCUCGAAAAGUUAUGAAGAAUAGACUACUCGAACGUGUUAAUCGGCUAUUGGACGAAGGAGAUAUCAUUGGAUAGAUAUGAAGGAAAAAAAAGUCUUUUUUCUUUGGACCGACCCCGACUACCCAUAUCAAUUGGGAGGGUGCAUUUAUCGUUUUUCGUUGGUCUUAUCCCCAAUCGAUCGAGAAGAUAAGACCCGUUAUUUCUCCUCCUCCUUGUAUCUUCUUCCUCCUUCUUUUCUUCUUCUGCUUCUGUUCGUCGCACCGGCGAUUCUGAAAGAUGAUUUUGAGGUUGAAAUCGAAGAGAAACUUAGGGUAAACAUUAGGAAUCGAUUUCUAGUGUUAAUGUUGAUGUUAAUUGAGGUCGGGAGAAAAAGGAAUUGAUUUUGUUGUAACUGAAAUUAGGGUUUUGAGAAUGAAUUUGAGUCUAUAGGUGAAUCGAUGAGUUAAUCGGGAUGUAGAUGGAUGAAGAUUAAAAAGGUUGACGUUAAUUGAAGUUACAAAUCGUUUUGAUGUUUGAAUCAAGAAGUUAGGGGUUGAAUUAGGUUUCCUGUGGAUAAGAAUUAAGAAUUUGGAAUUCGUUUUAAUGGUGACUAAGAAGGAAUUGUAGAUGGGUUUUCCCUGAAUUAGGAUAAGGUUGAAGAAUUGAUGGUUGGGGUUAUGAUUCUGUUUGAGUGAAGAUUUUGGGAAUUGGCUGUGAUGAACUGUGGUUCAAGGGUUAGAUAGUGAUGAGCUGAAUCGAAUCAGUUUAACCAAGGGGUUGAUUUCAAUUGUGGGAGAAAGUCUUUUGAGAUAUUAGUGGUGGUUCUGCGUGGUGGUUGCGUGUUGCUGUGAAAAAGAAAGGAAUUGAUUGUUAUGGUGUUGCUUGGUUGAUAUUUGAGUUGAAGUUGCAGGGAGGAGUUGAAUUAGUGUAUGGAGAUGAUAGAGCUAAUUGUGUUGGUGGUUUUGGAUAUGUAUUAAAGAUGAAUAUAGUUUGGUUGAACUACAAUUGGUUGUAGGUUAGGUUUAUGUUGUGAAUGGGUAUGGAUGAAUCUGUAAUGGAGAUUUAAGAGGAAUGAUGUGGUUGUUAUAACUGUGGUGGUAUUGUAUAAUGCAAGAAAGAAGUUACAAAAGAUGUAUGUAUUGUUGUGUGUGUUGAUGAUCGACUGGAUAUGUAGCUGAGGUUAUUAUGGAGUUGCAGAUACUGGAGUUUGUUGUGCUAGUGGUAUUUCAGUUGGAGAAAUAGUCUUGCAGUUUGGGAAGACUAGUGAUUACGUUGGUUUAGUUGUGAACCUGAAGUUACAGUUCAUGAAGAAUUGUGUUUAUAUAGUUGUAGAUAGUAAUUGAUGUGAAAAAGCUUAAAUAUGCAAUUGCUGGUAAGCAGAAUUUGUAUUUGUGAAUAAGUUUUAAAGUUGUUUUUAAAUGAAUGAAUUGUUUGGUUGA